UCUGCUUUGCACCACAGGGUUGGGGGUGGCGUGAGUUGUGGCUGGGCUUUGGUGCCCACUCUCAGCUCAUGUCAUCCCACAGGGUGAUGCACAGGAGGGGCACUAUGGGG
ensembl:miRNA gga-mir-6594 gga-mir-6594